ensembl:lncRNA
UGCCAGAAGAGGAGCCCAGGCACCUGUGGCUGGGCCUGCACAGGACCCACACACUAUGCUGGGAGGGGGGCAGGGGUGUUCAGCUUUCUCAAACCACCUGGAAAACCAGGCGACUGCUCCUGCUCCUGCUCCUGCUGGAAGCAACCAUGUGCAGGGACUGUGUGGCCAUGGCUGUGUUUGUCGCUGCCACUGGCUGUGUUUGUUGGGGGCUUCUCUGGGAAGUGUGGCUGGACAAGGUAGUUGGACAGAGUUGGAGAUGAAGAAGCGCACUUCCGUAUUGGCCUUUUGUGUGGCUGACUUUGGGGUCAGUUUUGUUGAAGAGAUGGCCUACUAAUGGGUGGGCUUGAGGCUGUCUUCCUCCCUGGAGAGGUCUCCGCACCACUGUCUUCCACAGCACUGGUGGACUCAGUGUGAGGGGUGUGGGAAGAGGAGGGAGAGGAUCGGGGAAAGGAGAGAAGGGGGCAUUGGUUGCCCAGGCAUGGCUCUGGUCUGAGUUUGAGGUGAAGGGCAGGUAAGUAGGAUCUAAGGUAUUUUCAUUGUGCAGCUCAGCCAGCCAAGAGGGUCCAAAUGGAUUUGAGGCAAAAGCCUAUAAAUGCAAGGAAAUACUGCAUCUGUUUUGUGUCACAUCAGCCUUGGGAGCCUUCAGGUGUAAUAGCAGGAGGCUUGGUGCAGUGUGCUGGAAGGGACCCAAGCUUCUGAGAAAGACGACAAGCCUUGUGAUGGCCCUUUCUUUAUCCUCCUGCUGCCACAGUUUGUGCUUAACAGAGGAAGGGGCUGGAGAGAGAAAGGUGGCCAGAGCUGCCCCCAGUCACCUGUUCCCUACUUACAAGGGCAGCAUGAGGCAAUCGCCGGCUACGGGGUCAGCCUUAAGCUGAGCGUUCCAGUCACAGCAGCUGAAUCCUUGUGCACGCUUCCUUCCCUAAGAAUAAUUCUCAGCUACCCAGCCCUAUCUAGCACUUCUUCCCAAGGAAAACCAUCGGCCUCAACCAAGCUGCUCACCUUAGUGUCUCUCAAAUACACUGCGAACUUCCCCAUCUGCAGGGCCACGCUCACAUCCUCCCAUGUGCCUGGCUUUUCUCUCUGUGUCCCAUUCCUGAGCCCACAACCCUGUCAGGCCUCCCCCUCAAGGCAGUGAUACAUUUUCACUGCUUCAUCCGGGUCUUUCUUUUUCCCCUGACCUGAGCCUCUUUGUCGCUUUGAAGGCUCAGUGAAGUUUGGAUGGGAAGUAGUUCUGCAGGAUACAUAUUGUUGCAAAGCUGAGUCAACCGCUGAGGGACUACUUCCUGUACACAUGAAGUGGACAGGCUGCCCAAGGGGUUAUACUUUAAUCUCAUUGUUAGGUAAAGAAACUGCAGAACAUCCUUCAUUUUCUGCAGUAAAAUAAGCAGGCCCCCCUGUGGUGGUGGUGGGGGGGUGGGUGAUGGUGGAAGAGGAAUCCUGUGAAACACAAUGGUUCUUUCAUGGAACCUGCCUUAAAUAACAAUCCCGCAGUAUCCAGAGUUUAUAUAAAAGCUUCAGCUUCCAAGGAAGUCCCAGUGCUCCUUACUAUCAAACAUGUUUAAUAUCAAAACAUGCUGUCUUGGGACCAGUGUUACGGUGCAGCAGGUUAAGCCACUACUUGCAGUGCCAGCAUCCCAUAGCAGAGUGGCAGUUCAAGUCCUGUCUGCUCUGCUUCUGACCAUGCUAAUAUCAUGCUGGGGAAGGCAGCAGAAAAUGGCCCAAGUAGUUGGGCCCCUGCUACCCACAUGGGAGACCAGAAUGGAGUUCCUGGCUCCUGCUUUUAGCUGGCACAGAUCUGGCUGCUGUGGACAUUUGGUGAAUUAACCAGCAAAUAGAAAAUCUCUCUCUCUCUCUCUCUCUCUCUCUCUCUCUCUCUCUCUCUCUUUGUGUGUGUGUAUGUGUGUGUGUUUCUCUGUUGCUCUGCCUUUUAAAUAAAUAAAUAACUUCUAAAAAACUGUGCUUAGGG